UACAGAGGCCCCAAGCAUUAUCCGGAAUCACUGGGCGUAAAGGGUGUGCAGGCGGCUUUGUUAGUCCUUCGUGAAAGGUCUUGGGCUCAACCCAGGAACCGCGGGGGAAACGGCAAGGCUCUGAGGAUGCGAGAGGUAGAGGGAACUCAAGGUGUAGGGGUGAAAUCCGUUGAUAUCUUGGGGAACACCAAAUGCGAAGGCACUCUACUGGCGCACUCCUGACGCUGAGACACGAAAGCGUGGGUAGCGAACGGG
rnacentral:misc_RNA from 1 species